AGAGUUUGAUCCUGGCUCAGGACGAACGCUGGCGGCGUGCCUAAUACAUGCAAGUCGAGCGAAUGAUUGGGAGCUUGCUCCCAUGAUUUAGCGGCGGACGGGUGAGUAACACGUGGGCAACCUACCUGUAAGACUGGGAUAACUUCGGGAAACCGGAGCUAAUACCGGAUAAUUUCUUUUCUCGCAUGAGAAGAGAUGGA
rnacentral:rRNA from 1 species